rnacentral:rRNA from 1 species
CAGUCGCCGCGGUAAUACGUAGGGUGCGAGCGUUAAUCGGAAUUACUGGGCGUAAAGCGUGCGCAGGCGGUUGUGUAAGACAGGUGUGAAAUCCCCGGGCUUAACCUGGGAACUGCGCUUGUGACUGCACAGCUAGAGUAUGGCAGAGGGGGGUGGAAUUCCACGUGUAGCAGUGAAAUGCGUAGAGAUGUGGAGGAACACCGAUGGCGAAGGCAGCCCCCUGGGCCAAUACUGACGCUCAUGCACGAAAGCGUGGGGAGCAAACAGGAUUAGAUGCCCCCGUAGUCCCUGUCUCUUAUAC